rnacentral:lncRNA from 1 species
CUUCUGCGCCAUCUUGUGGCAGUUGAGAGCAGGCCCAGGGCAGAAGGGAGGCAGGGGCAUUAAGAGCUCAGGCCUCCAGCUGAGGGACUGCAGAUGUUGGACUCAUGGAGGCAACCACUCAAGGCCACUCUGAGAAGGGUUGAACGUGCUUUAAAUUAAAAGGACUGAGGAUCAUGUGUGUUGGUGUGUCCUGGACUCUGCUCUAAGCUUCUGAAUCUGAGGGGACCACCAGCACCACAUCACCCCUUUGUAAGGUAAGUUCAUCAGAAUUUGCUGCCUCAAAAUCAUGCAGUGUUUCCACCUGCA